UGUCUAAAAAAAAUAAUAAUAAAAAUUCAUGAUGCGGGAUGCACCUGACAAGGCAGACCCACCAUCUUGGCUCCAAUACACGGUUAGAAUGAGAGUGCAGAGUUUUCAGGGGGCUUCAUAUGUUUACCUUGCUCUGAUCACUUUUCUCACAGGUAGCUAAAAGCAGGCUGCUUGAGGGAGGUAUGUGAUAAGAAGGGGCAGAUAUCCCUGAAAAACUGUCCAGAAAGAGUAGACACCAACUUUUCUCUAGAAUAUAGAAGAUUUUUGCCCCAGGUCAGCAGCCCCUGCCACAUAACUGUGAUGGGAAAAGCUAAUCAGGCAUAGCUUAUUAUUAUAUGUGAGGCACUUGGGGGAUGUUUGCUGGGAUGUGCUCUGAGGUACCUCUUCACUAGGUGAGAUUCUUGAAGUUGAAUUUUCUUGGUCAUGUUUCAGAGUUGCUCAGUUUUUCAGGGCAAGGCAAAAGCAAGGGAUGUUGCCCGGACUUAUGUAACUGUGUUAUUUCCUCUUCUGUCCUUCAGCUCUGAAAAUCCAGUGUAGUUCAAGUGCAUAUCAAAUCCUGGAGCAAACUGAAGACUACAUACUGAAACCUGGACACCCACUAAAUGUUCUGUAGACCUCAGACAAGGGGGAGCUGAGACUGAACUCCAACUGCCAUUCUUUGGUCUAAAUUUCUUCCUGAGGGGCCUGGAGGAGGCCAUGCUCAUGAGCCGGAACUAACAUUAUUUUUUUGCUGAUCCCAAAUUUUUAGACAAAGUUGUGCCUCCUUAACCAAUUGCAAGUUGGAACAUCUUUGAAUCCACCUCUGACCUGCGGGUCCCUGCUUCAAGAUGUCCUGCCUUUAGAGGUCACACCAAAGUAUAGCCUUCGUGUAUUAAUUUAUGACUUUACCUGAAACCUCUUCCUCUUCAUCUUUAAACACGAUUGCCUGUAAGCCCUCUGAGAGUUUCAUUCUUAAACAUUAGCUACAUGAUUCUCUUGCUUGGCACCCUGCAAUAAAUGCCUCAUUUCUCUCACUG